rnacentral:rRNA from 1 species
CACUCCUACGGGAGGCAGCAGUAGGGAAUCUUCCACAAUGGGUGCAAACCUGAUGGAGCAAUGCCGCGUGAGUGAAGAAGGUCUUCGGAUCGUAAAGCUCUGUUGUUAGAGAAGAACACGUGCUAGGUAACUACUAGCGCCUUGACGGUAUCUAACCAGAAAGUCACGGCUAACUACGUGCCAGCAGCCGCGGUAAUACGUAGGUGACAAGCGUUGUCCGGAUUUAUUGGGCGUAAAGGGAGCGCAGGCGGUCUGUUUAGUCUAAUGUGAAAGCCCACGGCUUAACCGUGGAACGGCAUUGGAAACUGACAGACUUGAAUGUAGAAGAGGAAAAUGGAAUUCCAAGUGGAGCGGUGGAAUGCGUAGAUAUUUGGAGGAACACCAGUGGCGAAGGCGAUUUUCUGGUCUAACAUUGACGCUGAGGCUCGAAAGCGUGGGGAGCGAACAGGAUUAGAUACCCGGGUAGUCCC